AAAGAGAGAAAGAGAGAGAGGGACGUUAGCGUGGUAACCCAGGCGUGGAGUCUCUCUGGUAUUGGAGCUGGUAUCACAACUAAAAAAAGGUUUGUUUUUUGUAUUUUUCGACAGAUCGCAAAAUGUCAGAAAGAAGAAGCACAGAAUUUGGCCGUUUCUUUAUCCGGUUGAUUAAUAAACGAAGCAAGGACUUUUUUUUAUCUGGGAUAAAAAAUUUAAACAG